rnacentral:rRNA from 1 species
UGGCCUUCCUCCGCAGGGGGAAAGUUCCGGCGGUCCAGGAUGACCCCACGGCCUUUCAGCUUGUUGGCGGGGUAAUGGCCUACCAAGGCACGACGGGUAGCCGGCCUAGAGGGCGACCGGCCACCUGGGACUGAGACACGGCCCAGAUUCCUACGGGAGGCAGCAGUGGGGAAUAUUGCACAAUGGGCGAAAGCCUGAUGCAGCGACGCCGCGUGAGGGAUGACGGCCUUCGGGUUGUAAACCUCUUUCAGCAGGGAAGAAGCGCAAGUGACGGUACCUGCAGAAGAAGCACCGGCUAACUACGUGCCAGCAGCCGCGGUAAUACGUAGGGUGCGAGCGUUGUCCGGAAUUAUUGGGCGUAAAGAGCUCGUAGGCGGCCUGUCGCGUCGGAUGUGAAAGCCCGGGGCUUAACCCCGGGUCUGCAUUCGAUACGGGCAGGCUAGAGUGUGGUAGGGGAGAUCGGAAUUCCUGGUGUAGCGGUGAAAUGCGCAGAUAUCAGGAGGAACACCGGUGGCGAAGGCGGAUCUCUGGGCCAUUACUGACGCUGAGGAGCGAAAGCGUGGGGAGCGAACAGGAUUAGAUACCCUGGUAGUCCACGCCGUAAACGUUGGGAACUAGGUGUUGGCGACAUUCCACGUCGUCGGUGCCGCAGCUAACGCAUUAAGUUCCCCGCCUGGGGAGUACGGCCGCAAGGCUAAAACUCAAAGGAAUUGACGGGGGCCCGCACAAGCAGCGGAGCAUGUGGCUUAAUUCGACGCAACGCGAAGAACCUUACCAAGGCUUGACAUAUGCCGGAAACAUCCAGAGAUGGGUGCCCCCUUGUGGUCGGUAUACAGGUGGUGCAUGGUUGUCGUCAGCUCGUGUCGUGAGAUGUUGGGUUAAGUCCCGCAACGAGCGCAACCCUUGUUCUGUGUUGCCAGCAUGCCUUUCGGGGUGAUGGGGACUCACAGGAGACUGCCGGGGUCAACUCGGAGGAAGGUGGGGACGACGUCAAAUCAUCAUGCCCCUUAUGUCUUGGGCUGCACACGUGCUACAUGGUCGGUACAAAGGGCUGCGAUGCCGCGAGGCGGAGCGAAUCCCAAAAAGCCGGCCUUCGGAUUGGGGUCUGCAACUCGACCCCAUGAAGUUGG